rnacentral:lncRNA from 10 species
UUAAAUAAGGGGUGAUAUAAUCCGAUUUGUGUUUCAGAAAGAGAAGUGCAGAAAGGACUGUGGUUCAGAGGUUGCCCAGGAUGGACAUGGGGAAACUGGAGUCUCACUGGUGAUCAGGAUGGUGAAAAUCAGGCCCUAAUGUGGUUCUAGACAAAGAAGCGGAGAAAGCAGAAAACCCACAGGCCUGAGGCCACAAUUAGGAGAAGAUGAGAAAACGGGUAUUUCGGUGUCUUUCCUUUGACUUCAUGUAGCUCAAU